UGAGCUGAAGGCUGAAGGGGACAGAAAGAUGAAAACCCUGACAGUCUGCCUUCAAAGAACCUCCUGACCAGAGAGGAUGUAGAAGAAGGGAGAGGUAGAAGAGCCUCUGACACAGGAAGAAUGCACUGUUAAAACAGACCAGCAGGUCAACUCAGGGUUGACUUCCUCCCACAUCAACCAAAAGCAUUUCUGGCAUCACAUCCUGCCUUCAACACUUUUCUCAGUCCUCAGAGAGAGCUGGGAGCUUUUACCCUGUGCUGUGUGCACUCACCUCCCUUGGGAAGAAGGCAACAUUCCAGCAUAGAGCGAUUCCACGCCCACAGUAAGUCCUGCAGCCUUAACUCCCAGGCAGACACGAUUUCUGUGGAUGGGGCCAGGAGGAUGUGAGAUGAAUGGUGCACCUGCCCCUUUAAACUUGGCCAGAGAGAAACUCUGCUUCCUAGGUGGCAACAGCAAUGCCACCUCCAGCUGCUGGCUCCACUCCGUGGAACAUUCUUGCACAGUCCUGAGCUUCUGAUUCCAUUCAUAGCUAAAGAAAUGGACUUCCCUACCCUGGAUUCCCCCCACUGCACCCCACAACAGGAUCAGCUCUCUGGCUCUUAUAAGACUUAACCAAUUAUAACUGCUCCCAAUGCCUCUGCCACCAGGUGGUCUAAACUGAGGGGUUAACCUGGGCUUAGGAACCUUUCAAGAAGCUAAGCAUAACCGCACAAAAUCUGUGAAACCCUAAAACUGUAUGCAACUAUGUGCGUUUUUCUGACGAGGGGGUUCAUAACUUUAAUAAGAUAUCCUCCCACCAAAGGUUUUAGCCACUUAUCAGGUAGCCAGAGAACUGGACAGAGCUCUGUAUCAACAGUGCAGCCUCCGGUGCUGAGGUAGCCUUAAACCAGGUCACUAUUUAAUUGGCUGUUUGGGAAAGAGGAGAAAUCAUUAUUCUUAAGAAAGUAAGUUUUCAAAAAUAGCUGCUGUGAGAGUUGUAAAAAAAAAAUCAACAGGAGUUAGGAACAGGGAAAAUGAAAAUACAAAUUCUUGUUUUUUUAUAGAGAGUUUUUUAAAAUGUGAUUCAGUAAG